rnacentral:rRNA from 1 species
GAACUUAAGCAUAUCAAUAAGCGGAGGAAAAGAAACUAACAAGGAUUCCCCUAGUAACUGCGAGUGAAGCGGGAAAAGCUCAAAUUUAAAAUCUGGCGUGCCUCUGGUCGUCCGAGUUGUAGUUUAGAGAAGCGUUUUCUGUGUUGGACCGUGUAUAAGUCUCUUGGAACAGGGCGUCAUAGAGGGUGAGAAUCCCGUCUUUGACACGGACUACCAAUGCUUUGUGAUACGCUCUCAAAGAGUCGAGUUGUUUGGGAAUGCAGCUCAAAAUGGGUGGUAAAUUCCAUCUAAAGCUAAAUAUAGGCGAGAGACCGAUAGCGAACAAGUACCGUGAGGGAAAGAUGAAAAGCACUUUGGAAAGAGAGUUAAACAGUACGUGAAAUUGCUGAAAGGGAAACGCUUGAAGUCAGCCACGUCUGCCAGGACUCAGCCUUGCUUCUGCUUGGUGUACUUUCUGGUUGGAUGGGCCAACAUCGAUUUCGACCGUUGGAGAAAGGCUUUGGGAAUGUGGCACCUUCGGGUGUGUUAUAGCCCUUUGUUGUAUACAAUGGUUGGGAUCGAGGACUGCAGCAUGCCUUCAUGGCCGGGGUUCGCCCACGUACAUGCUUAGGAUGUUGGCAUAAUGGCUUUAAGCGACCCGUCUUGAAACACGGACCAAGGAGUCUAACAUGCCUGCGAGUGUUUGGGUGGAAAACCCAUGCGCGUAAUGAAAGUGAUAGCUGAGAUCCUCUCAUCAGGAGCAUCAGCGCCUGGACUUGAUCUACGGAGACGGUUCUACGGUAGAGCAUGUAUGUUGGGACCCGAAA